UUUCCCUAGUACGGCGAGUGAAGCGGGAAGAGCUCAAAUUUGAAAUCUGGUAGCCUUCGGUUGCCCGAGUUGUAAUCUAGAGAAGUGUUUUCCGUGCCGGCCCAUGUACAAGUCCCUUGGAACAGGGCGUCAUAGAGGGUGAGAAUCCCGUCCUUGACAUGGACCCCCGGUGCUUUGUGAUACACUUUCAACGAGUCGAGUUGUUUGGGAAUGCAGCUCAAAAUGGGUGGUGAAUUCCAUCUAAAGCUAAAUAUUGGCGAGAGACCGAUAGCGAACAAGUACCGUGAGGGAAAGAUGAAAAGCACUUUGGAAAGAGAGUUAAACAGUACGUGAAAUUGUUGAAAGGGAAACGAUUGAAGUCAGUCAUGCUCUUAGGAUUCAGCCGUUCUGCGGUGUAUUUCCUUUGAGUGGGGUCAACAUCAGUUUUGAUCGAUGGAUAAAGGCACGAGGAAGGUAGCACUCUCGGGUGAACUUAUAGCCUCGCGUCAUAUACAUUGAUUGGGACUGAGGAACGCAGCAUGCCUUUAUGGCCGGGAUUCGUCCACGUACAUGCUUAGGAUGUUGACAUAAUGGCUUUAAACGAC
rnacentral:rRNA from 1 species